rnacentral:rRNA from 1 species
AACGAACGCUGGCGGCAUGCUUAACACAUGCAAGUCGAACGAGACCUUCGGGUCUAGUGGCGCACGGGUGCGUAACGCGUGGGAAUCUGCCCUUAGGUACGGAAUAACUCAGAGAAAUUUGUGCUAAUACCGUAUGAUGUCGAAAGACCAAAGAUUUAUCGCCUAAGGAUGAGCCCGCGUAAGAUUAGCUUGUUGGUGAGGUAAAAGCUCACCAAGGCGACGAUCUUUAGCUGGUCUGAGAGGAUGAUCAGCCACACUGGGACUGGGACACGGCCCAGACUCCUACGGGAGGCAGCAGUGGGGAAUAUUGGACAAUGGGCGAAAGCCUGAUCCAGCAAUGCCGCGUGAGUGAUGAAGGCCUUAGGGUUGUAAAGCUCUUUUACCAGGGAUGAUAAUGCCAGUACCUGGAGAAUAAGCUCCGGCUAACUCCGUGCCAGCAGCCGCCGUAA